UACGUAGGGCGCAAGCGUUGUCCGGAAUUAUUGGGCGUAAAGAGCUCGUAGGCGGCUGUUCAAGUCGAACGUGAAACUCGGAGCUCAACUCCGAGCCUGCGUUCGAUACUGGACGGCUAGAGUCUGGUAGGGGAUCGUGGAAUUCCUGGUGUGAGCGGUGGAAUGCGCAGAUAUCAGGAGGAACACCCGUGGCUAAGGCGGUUCUCUAGUACGGUACUGACGCUGAGACGCGGAAAGCGUGGGAGCAACAGG
rnacentral:rRNA from 1 species